AGCUAUAAAUGGUAGGAUUUUCAAGUAAGAACACUUGUCUGAUUGUGAAGUGGAGGCCAUUACUGCCUUGAUUGGGUCUUUUUUUUUUUUUUUUUUUCAGCUUGCUUGAUUUGUGGUUGAGAGCGCAUAUUCACUCCUGUACUGUGAGCAAUCAGAGCCUCCCCUCUCUCAUUUUUGCUCAGCGAUUUAGGGUCCACUACUUUGGCACAGCUGCCACCUUUUAGCCUCCAUCAUGCAAAAGGAACCUGAUGUUCCCUCCUCGCUCUACCAUUGCUCUGCCAAGUGCUGGCUAUCUCCUAUGCACUGAAUCUCUCCAUGGGCCAAAGAAGCAUGGUAAAGGGACACACAUCUUCAGCCAUUAACUAUCCUUCCCAGAGAAGUGUGGCCACCAUUUGCUCCAUGAGGUUGUCAAAAUCAAAUGGAUUACAACAGAAAAUUCUUUUUAUGCUAAAAACAGUGGAUUCAGGUGUGAGAGGAAAAAAUUAG
rnacentral:lncRNA from 1 species